UGUCUUUUUGUUUUAAUAUAUCUUAGAUCUAUUGAUACUUUUCUAUUUUUGACUGGCUUAUACAAACAAUUGCUUAUCUUCAGUCUGUUUCUCCAUUAUUAUUUCAAUCUAUGGUGUGAUGCCUAUUUUUUUUCUGCAAAGUGCUUAACAUAUUUCUUUACUGAGACAGGAAAAUAGGGUCUGGAGGCAGGGAACUGAAGGUCGAUUGACACUUCAGCUAUGACAGGAAAUAUCCUCUCCAUAGGACAUAUGCCGAAUAAAUGAGUUUAUAACUUUACUUCAUCCUCUUCACUUAUAUAGGGCAUACCCCAAGUAACCAAUGGAAUCUUCUAGAGGGUAUUUAAACUCCCAAAACUUCUGUAGCGGGGCCCUUAAGCCCCUACACUUGGGCCCACUCCCACAUUGUGAAAUGUACUUUCAUUUUCAAUAAAUCUCUUCAUUCCUUCCCAGCUUUGUUUGUGCGUUUUGUACAACUCUUUGUCCAAGAUGACAAGAACCUGGACACCCUCCACCGGUGACAUAUUUUGGUGAGCCAGCCAGGAGGAAAAGUCUUUCAGACGCUGAUUCCUGGUAGCUCAUCGGAAAUUGAGGACAAUUGGCUGGGGUCACUCCCAGGUACUGCAUGAAGGUCUAGGAAUGAAUGCGAAUAAUUGCCCGGCCCAAAAAGGGGAAGGACUUUUUAAAAAAUCUUUUCUGCAUGAUCCCUGAUCCCUACCUGCAGGGCAGCUCAGAGCAAACUCAAACAUGUUUCAGGACAAAGAGAAGUGGAAAACAGGUCUGUUACGUGCACUUAUGGGGUGUACUCUUAUUUGUGAAGAACUUUGCAGCCAGCCUUAUACAUGGAUAAGCUUACACUUUGAUAGAUAAAAGACGAAGGCCCAAUGUAGGUAAGAAACUUUAAUGGUACAUACAUUGACUCAUAAUCAGUGAAAAACAAAACGUUGGUUCACUCCUCUUAACCCACACCAUGGGUUAAAGAAAACAUUGCCAGGAGGCCUUCACUCUUUUAGAAGAGCAUCAUUUGUCAAGUCCUUUUUCCAUGGUUCAGAGUAAAGAAGCAAUGAAUAGAAAUGUAUCCCCCAUGAUAGGCUCUGUAGAAAAUUCUGCUGUAAAGGCUACAGUUACACAACAGAUUUUAAAUUCUCUUGUGAAAGUUAUGAUAGAAUUGACUGAACAAAGAAGUAUCUGUGCAGCUGCUGGCACUUGUGGCCUAUGGAAAAAUACAUCAAAUGAAGAUUAUAGAAAUUCAGUGGGAGGGGAUCAACAACGAGACUGCUUACUUAAGUGAGUAGACUCUUUAUCUAACUUAUUCUUUGAUCUAUUUGACUUUAGGAGGUUUGGCUUAUGGGGACCUUGUGUAAGAGGCACACUCCAAACUCUUGGUAUUAUCCUUCCAA
rnacentral:lncRNA from 1 species